rnacentral:rRNA from 1 species
UACGUAGGGUGCAAGCGUUGUCCGGAAUUAUUGGGCGUAAAGAGCUCGGUAGGCGGUUUGUCGCGUCUGCUGUGGAAAUCCCAGGGCUUAACCCUGGGCCUGCAGUGGGUACGGGCAAACUAGAGUGCGGUAGGGGAGAUCGGAAUUCCUGGUGUAGCGGUGAAAUGCGCAGAUAUCAGGAGGAACACCGGUGGCGAAGGCGGAUCUCUGGGCCGUAACUGACGCUGAGGAGCGAAAGCAUGGGGAGCGAACAGG